CAGCCUUGCUUUUCCUUCCCUUGGUCCCUGCCCCUGAGGACUCCUUGUUGUUCUUCUUUCAGAAGAGAGUCUGGGUGUUUAACAAAAGCUCUGUGUUAGAGCAUCAGGGGACGUGAGGGCUGCUGGUGACGCUGGAGUCCCCAACCGAAUACCCUCCUGGAGCAGAGAGAGCUGGGCUCAGUCGGUGGGACCUUGUCCAGGCCCCCACUCCUCACUGGAAAGCCAGAAACAUCCCAUGAGCAUCCUGUCUUCCGGCUCGCUGCCAGACGGGAAAGAAAGAGUAUCUAAUACACUGCCUAGGAGUACAAACUGUGUUCAAGUCCAGGAAGCAGCAGGGACUGCUCUGUGGUCUUGAGGAGAUUCGUGACUUUGUACUUUUGUUUCUGCACCUCAAAGGAUAUGCUCAUAAAUUGCGAUGUCUUAACUUGAGCAACAACCGCAUGGCCGUUAGAAAAGCUCUGGGUGUGCCUGUGAAUGAUUGACAGGCACGCCAGCAAGUGAGAAGGGAA
rnacentral:lncRNA from 1 species